rnacentral:rRNA from 1 species
CGGAGGGCUAGCGUUGUUCGGAAUUACUGGGCGUAAAGCGCGCGUAGGCGGCUUUGUAAGUUAGAGGUGAAAGCCCGGAGCUCAACUUCGGAAUUGCCUUUAAGACUGCAUCGCUUGAAUCAUGGAGAGGUCAGUGGAAUUCCGAGUGUAGAGGUGAAAUUCGUAGAUAUUCGGAAGAACACCAGUGGCGAAGGCGACUGACUGGACAUGUAUUGACGCUGAGGUGCGAAAGCGUGGGAGCAAACAGGAUU